CCCGAGCGCCCGGCCCGCGGCGCCUACGAGGUCCUGCCUGGCCUUCGCCGUCCAGGCCCCGCGAAGUUUGGCUGCGGCGCUCGGACCUCGCUCCCCGCCUGGCGUCUGGGGGCCCGCGGCCCACCAAUUCGAGGGGAGAACAACCUAACCCCGUGCCUCGCGAAGGACGGGCCCAUGGCUGUGGCUCCACGCGAGCCUCCUUCCGUGGGGACAGGGGACCGAGGCGCGUACUCUGCGGCCCCGAAGCGCGCCCCCUGGCGAAACGGGCCGGCCUUCCCCCGCGCCCGCAGCCCCUCGACGGCUCGGCGCCCUUAAGUCCAGCCAGCCCCCAGCUCAUCCCUUAGAUGUGCGGGACGCGGUGGCUCAGCUUGGAAGAAGAGAACCAAAAGGUGGGAACCUGUAUCAGGACUGAUGGAUGUAAGAGGUCUGGGAGCAAGAAGAUGCCCUGGAAUCCUUUGGAAAAUCGCGGUAGUGUCUGGGUGCCUGGCACUGAGCACAAGGAAGGAACCAGGCAGGAUCACUGACCCAAUGUUGAACUCUCCACUGGCACCAGGAGGCCCUCCACCCAUGAACUUGGAGGCUGUGUAGAUUUCACUGAACAGGAUGUCUGGGGAUCAGGGAGAGCAUCAAUUAUCCAGAGUUUUGUCUGUCUGGAUGUCCCACCUAAGGCAUCCUAAGGGAGGUGGGCGUCCCUAGAAUCAUGCCCACCUGUUCUCAAAGUCCAGAAAGUUGGCAGCAGCCCUCCCUGCCCUCCACACUUGACCAGGCAGGGAGGUCAGCCUUGUGGCCACCUCCUCCUACAGGACCGUGGUGCUGCCAAGGACAACUAU